GAUGAAGAACGUAGCGAAAUGCGAUAAGUAAUGUGAAUUGCAGAAUUCAGUGAAUCAUCGAAUCUUUGAACGCACAUUGCGCCCGCCAGCAUUCUGGCGGGCAUGCCUGUUCGAGCGUCAUUUCAACCCUCGAGCCCCCCCGGGGGCCUCGGUGUUGGGGGACGGCACACCAGCCGCCCCCGAAAUGCAGUGGCGACCCCGCCGCAGCCUCCCCUGCGUAGUAGCACACACCCCGCACCGGAGCGCGGAGGCGGUCACGCCGUAAAACGCCCAACUUUCUUAGAGUUGACCUCGGAUCAGGUAGGAAUACCCGCUGAACUUAAGCAUAUCAAUAAGCGGAGGA
rnacentral:misc_RNA from 1 species